rnacentral:rRNA from 1 species
GAUGAACGCUGGCGGCGUGCCUAAUACAUGCAAGUCGAGCGAACGGACGAGAAGCUUGCUUCUCUGAUGUUAGCGGCGGACGGGUGAGUAACACGUGGAUAACCUACCUAUAAGACUGGGAUAACUUCGGGAAACCGGAGCUAAUACCGGAUAAUAUUUUGAACCGCAUGGUUCAAAAGUGAAAGACGGUCUUGCUGUCACUUAUAGAUGGAUCCGCGCUGCAUUAGCUAGUUGGUAAGGUAACGGCUUACCAAGGCAACGAUGCAUAGCCGACCUGAGAGAGGGAUCGGCCACACUGGAACUGAGACACGGUCCAGACGCCUACGGGAGGCAGCAGUAGGGAAUGUUCCGCAAUGGGCGAAAGCCUGACGGAGCAACGCCGCGUGAGUGAUGAAGGUGUUCGGAUCGUAAAACUCUGUUAUUAGGGAAGAACAGAUGUGUAAGGAGCUGUGCAGAGCGUGACGGUACCUGAUCAGAAAGCCACGGCUAACUACGUG